rnacentral:lncRNA from 1 species
GCUCCGCUUCGGCGUGCUUGCGUACCGCAACUAAGCUCGCCACGACCCAAUCGGCCUCUGCUCUCUGCUCUCGUCUCGUUCCCGCUGUCUUUUUUCUGCGUUUCUACUCGCCGCUGUGUUUAAUCGCUCGAUGCUGUUUUGAAACGAUAUUGAACUUGCCAGCCUAUCGACGAACGCGAUGUGCAUCGAUCGGAAUCGCGAAACAAUACGAAUGGAGAAAAGUCGUGCGUGUAAAAAUAGCAUUGUUCGCUUUUGUCAUUUUCCCCGGGAAGAUAAUAAUUUAGGAAUUGGAAAAUAAAUUAUAUCAGGAAGAUAUUAUCGCAUGCUUCGGUGCAUGGGUGAAAGUUCUAAAAGUGGGCACUAUAUCGUCGUCUAUGAGAGUAUGCUCGUUACACUUUACAGAAGAAAAUUAUAUCCCAGGGGCGAACUGCACAUCGGAGAGUUUGAAAAAGCUCCAGCAGGCUUGUAAAGUUCCAGGUUCCUGGUGACUUUUGGCACAUGGCAGACUGAAGAGUUCGUCUUUGAAUUAAACAAAGACCAGAAACAACGGCUUAAACAUCGGCAUAUGAGAUCAAAACCGGCGAGUUUAGCUAACAAAUCACACUAGUUGGCAGCAAACCACCUAUUUGACGGUGGCUGAUUGUUCCGAAGACUAUAUCUCUUGAUAGGUUUCAUGUAGUCAUACAAUUGGCUAUGGAUUGAAAAAACUACCAUCUGCACAUUUUUGCAAAGGGGAAUUUGUAAUACGGCAAUGUAUCAGAAGAGGAUUUUGGCACCUCAGAUAUUAAUGAUGCAAGUAUAUCGUUAAAAAUAAUUCUUCGUACGGAAGAGGAUAAAGUAAAUUAUGUAUAUGACUUGGGGAGGUAAUUGAGAUCAUGCUAUUCAUUAUCCGAUCAGGUAUUGUCUCAUAUUUCGAUAUGCAUCAAGGAAAAAAAGAUGUGUUGGGAGUAUUACGAAAAGCUUGAAAACGUCCGUGAUGUUAACAAUUCGGAGCGAGAAGAGUAACAUGACUGGCUGAUGUGCGAUAUAGAGGAGCGAAAAUAUGACCUUAAAUCAAUUAAUCUGCGUUUGGCUAAUCUUUAUUCCUAAAUGGAUAGUCAGUCAAAGGAAAAUCUCUCAGGAUGACUUCAUUGGCUAUAUAUUUAUCCGAUUAAAAGUGACGAUGGUUUUUGAUAAAUCAAUAAGUCACAUUGUCAUGCAAGGAAAUAACCAUAAUCUAUCACGAUAAGGUCAAUAAGAAAUAUUUUUGAAUAUUUUCUAAACAGAAUUACCUAAAUUAACAUGAAUCCAAUUUAACUUGAACAAAUACGAAACGCGUGAUUAGAAAUAUUUAUUGAAUAUACAUAUUAUUCGUUGAUAUUCAAUUAUAGCGCCUAUCUAUUUCAUCAACUUUGUAAACAUGUAUAUACCUACAUAAACAUCACCUUAACGA